CUGAGUGUAGCACAGUGGUAGAUUGCUUGCCUAGCAUACAUGAGAUCCUGGGCUCAAUUCCCAGCACCCAUU
rnacentral:tRNA from 1 species